rnacentral:rRNA from 1 species
GAUGAACGCUGGCGGCGUGCCUAAUACAUGCAAGUCGAGCGAACAGAUGAGGAGCUUGCUCCUCUGACGUUAGCGGCGGACGGGUGAGUAACACGUGGAUAACCUACCUAUAAGACUGGGAUAACUUCGGGAAACCGGAGCUAAUACCGGAUAAUAUAUUGAACCGCAUGGUUCAAUAGUGAAAGUCGGUUUUGCUGUCACUUAUAGAUGGAUCCGCGCCGCAUUAGCUAGUUGGUAAGGUAACGGCUUACCAAGGCAACGAUGCGUAGCCGACCUGAGAGGGUGAUCGGCCACACUGGAACUGAGACACGGUCCAGACUCCUACGGGAGGCAGCAGUAGGGAAUCUUCCGCAAUGGGCGAAAGCCUGACGGAGCAACGCCGCGUGAGUGAUGAAGGUCUUCGGAUCGUAAAACUCUGUUAUUAGGGAAGAACAAAUGUGUAAGUAACUAUGCACGUCUUGACGGUACCUAAUCAGAAAGCCACGGCUAACUACGU